UUGAGACACAUUGCGGCUCGCCUCGAAAGUAGACGAGAGUAGCCGAUCGCAGCCGGGGGAGGUGUCAAAAAGCUCGUCUUAAGUCGGACAGCUCGGAGUCGGAGUCGGCUUGACUGGCUGGGUUUGCAAUGGCGGAAAUUGCGUUGGCGUUUUUCGUUACAGAUGAAGUGGAUGCAAUAGAAAUCCCACAUGUAUUGUAUGGAGAAUGGCAUGAUGAACACCGUCUGCGGAGAUCCGUUCCAAAGGUCCAACAAUUUGUGGAAGAAGUGGUCCCACAGUACAGUCCUUCAGACUUCAAAAGUCAUUUCCGAUUGUCCAGGGGACAUGUGGAAGAUGUGAUGACGACUAUUGGCCCGUUCUACUGGAACAGACAGCACAGUAAAGUGCCGCUUCAAAACAGUGUUCUUGCCUGUCUGUGGACUCUAUCAAACCAGGAGUCCUAUAGGGGGGUUGCUGAUCGUUUCAAUAUCACCAAAUCCACUGUCUGCCUGCAUCUGCAUGAAUUCUGUAGUCUUGUCACCACAUAUUUGUCUCACCACAUUUCCUGGCCCACAGGGCA